rnacentral:misc_RNA from 1 species
UAAUAAGUGUUUUAUAGGCACUUUUUAAAUCCAUAUCCACCUUGUGUGCAAUGUCAGUCGAUCUUCUUCAUGGAGACUGACCAAACAUCAACCUUUAUCUUUUAACUCUUUGUCUGAAAAAUAUUAUGAAUAAACAAUUCAAAAUA